rnacentral:rRNA from 1 species
AUGUACAAUAAUGUUGUGACAGGUGUUCGAACAAGUGAUGUCGACACCGAUGACUUCCCGAUUAAGAUAGGACUGCAUCAGGGGUCAGCUUUGAGCCCUUAUCUUUUUGCAUUGGUGAUGGAUGAGGUCACAAGGGGUAUACAAGGAGAUAUCCCAUGGUGUAUGCUCUUUGCGGAUGAUGUGGUGCUAGUUGACGAUAGUCGGACGGGGGUAAAUAGGAAGUUAGAGUUAUGGAGACAAACCUUGGAAUCGAAAGGGUUUAGGCUUAGUAGAACUAAAACCGAGUACAUGAUGUGCGGUUUCAGUACUACUAGCUGUGAGGAGGAGGAGGUUAGCCUUGAUGGCCAGGUGGUACCUCGGAAGGACACCUUUCGGUAUUUGGGGUCAAUGUUGCAGGAGGAUGGGGGUAUUGAUGAAGAUGUGAACCAUCGAAUCAAAGCCGGAUGGAUGAAGUGGCGCCAAGCUUCUGGCAUUCUCUGUGACAAGAGAGUGCCACAAAAGCUAAAAGGCAAGUUCUACAGGACGGCGGUUCGACCCGCAAUGUUGUAUGGCGUAGAGUAUUGGCCGACUAAAAGGCGACAUGUUCAACAGUUAGGUGUGGCGGAGAUGCGUAUGUUGAGAUGGAUGUGUGGCCACACGAGGAAGGAUCGAGUCCGAAAUGAUGAUAUACGAGAUAGAGUUGGGGUAGCACCAAUUGAGGAGAAGCUUGUCCAACAUUGUUUGAGAUGGUUUGGGCAUAUUCAGCGCAGGCCUCCAGAAGCUCCAGUGCAUAGCGGACGGCUAAAGAGUGCGGAGAAUGUCAAGAGAGGGCGGGGUCGACCGAUUUUGACAUGGGAGGAGUCUGUUAAGAGAGACCUGAAGGAUUGGAGUAUCGACAAAGAGCUAGCUAUGGACAGGGGUGCGUGGAAGCUUGCUAUCCAUGUGCCAGAGCCAUGA